AAUGCAAGUCGAGCGGAUGUAGCAAUACAUCAGCGGCGGACGGGUGAGUAACACGUGGGCAACCUGGCCUUAAGAGGGGGAUAACGUCCCGAAAGGGACGCUAAUACCGCGUAAAUCAACGAGAUCGCAUGAUUUUGUUGGAAAAGGAGCAAUCCGCUUAAGGAUGGGCCCGCGGCCUAUUAGCUAGUUGGUAGGGUAACGGCCUACCAAGGCGACGAUAGGUAGCCGACCUGAGAGGGUGAACGGCCACACUGGAACUGAGAAACGGUCCAGACUCCUACGGGAGGCAGCAGUAGGGAAUAUUCCGCAAUGGGCGAAAGCCUGACGGAGCAACGCCGCGUGAGUGAAGAAGGUUUUCGGAUCGUAAAGCUCUGUCAACAGGGACGAAACAAGACGGUACCUGAGAAGGAAGCCACGGCAAACUACGUGCCAGCAGCCGCGGUAAUACGUAGGUGGCAAGCGUUGUCCGGAAUAACUGGGCGUAAAGCGCAUGUAGACGGCAUGAUAAGCCAAAUGUGAAAUGUAGGGGCUCAACCCCUGCACUGCGAUUGGAACUGUCAAGCUUGAGUGCAGGAGAGGCAAAUGGAAUUCCCAGUGUAGCAGUGAAAUGCGUAGAGAUUGGGAGGAACACCAGUGGCGAAGGCGAUUUGCUGGACUGCAACUGACGUUGAGAUGCGAAAGCUAGGGGAGCAAACGGGAUUAGAUACCCCGGUAGUCCUAGCCGUAAACGAUGGAUACUAGGUGUAGAGGGUAUCGACCCCUUCUGUGCCGCAGCGAACG
rnacentral:rRNA from 1 species